UACAGAGGUCUCAAGCGUUGUUCGGAUUCAUUGGGCGUAAAGGGUGCGUAGGCGGCGCGGUAAGUCGGGUGUGAAAUCUCGGAGCUUAACUCCGAAAACUGCAUUCGAUACUGCCGUGCUUGAGGACUGGAGAGGAGACUGGAAUUUACGGUGUAGCGGUGAAAUGCGUAGAUAUCGUAAGGAAGACCAGUGGCGAAGGCGGGGUCUCUGGACAGUUCCUGACGCUGAGGCACGAAGGCCAGGGGGAGCAAACGGGG
rnacentral:rRNA from 1 species